GUCAGAGCCAUAUCUCCUUGCAGUUCUUGCCUGGUUUCCCACUGAAGCUAAGCAGGGUUGAGCCUGGACAGCAUCUGGAUGGGAGAUCUCCUCUGGGGAAAACUAUGGUUGCAGCUGGAA
rnacentral:rRNA from 1 species